rnacentral:rRNA from 1 species
AACGAACGCUGGCGGCAUGCCUAACACAUGCAAGUCGAACGAGACCUUCGGGUCUAGUGGCGCACGGGUGCGUAACGCGUGGGAACCUGCCCUUAGGUUCGGAAUAACUCCCCGAGAGGGGUGCUAAUACCGGAUAAUGUCUUCGGACCAAAGAUUUAUCGCCGUUGGAUGGGCCCGCGUUGGAUUAGCUAGUUGGUAGGGUAAAAGCCUACCAAGGCGACGAUCCAUAGCUGGUCUGAGAGGAUGAUCAGCCACACUGGGACUGAGACACGGCCCAGACUCCUACGGGAGGCAGCAGUGGGGAAUAUUGGACAAUGGGCGAAAGCCUGAUCCAGCAAUGCCGCGUGAGUGAUGAAGGCCUUAGGGUUGUAAAGCUCUUUUACCCGGGAUGAUAAUGACAGUACCGGGAGAAUAAGCUCCGGCUAACUCCGUG